rnacentral:tRNA from 2 species
GCCCGGGUGGCGGAAUUGGUAGACGCGCUAGAUUCAGGAUCUAGUGGGCAAUACGCCUGUAGGGGUUCGAAUCCCCUCCCGGGCA